rnacentral:snRNA from 1 species
GUGCUCGCUUCGGCAGGCAGCACAUAUACUAAAAUUGGAACGAUACAGAGAAGAUUAGCAUAGCCUCUGUGCAAGGAUGACACGCAAAUUUGUGAAGCAUUCCAUUUUUUA